UACGUAGGGCGCAAGCGUUGUCCGGAAUUAUUGGGCGUAAAGAGCUCGUAGGCGGCUUGUCACGUCGGGUGUGAAAGCCCGGGGCUUAACCCCGGGUCUGCAUUCGAUACGGGCUAGCUAGAGUGUGGUAGGGGAGAUCGGAAUUCCUGGUGUAGCGGUGAAAUGCGCAGAUAUCAGGAGGAACACCGGUGGCGAAGGCGGAUCUCUGGGCCGUAACUGACGCUGAGGAGCGAAAGCGUGGGGAGCGAACAGG
rnacentral:rRNA from 1 species